rnacentral:tRNA from 1 species
GGGUUGGCUCAGUGGCUAGAGCUUAGGUCUCGUAACAGAAAGGUCGCGGGAUCGAAUCCCGCUAGAGGCUCA